rnacentral:rRNA from 1 species
CAGUAGCCGCGGUAAUACAGAGGGUGCGAGCGUUAAUCGGAUUUACUGGGCGUAAAGCGUGCGUAGGCGGCUUCUUAAGUCGGAUGUGAAAUCCCUGAGCUUAACUUAGGAAUUGCAUUCGAUACUGGGAAGCUAGAGUAUGGGAGAGGAUGGUAGAAUUCCAGGUGUAGCGGUGAAAUGCGUAGAGAUCUGGAGGAAUACCGAUGGCGAAGGCAGCCAUCUGGCCUAAUACUGACGCUGAGGUACGAAAGCAUGGGGAGCAAACAGGAUUAGAGACCCCUGUAGUCCCUGUCUCUUAUAC